GGCGUAAAGCGUGGUUAAGUACCCCCCCCCCCAACUAGGGCCAAACACCCACGAAGCUGUUAUACGCAUGUUGAGGAUUUGAAGCACCCCCACAAAAGUGGCCCUAAACCCCCACUGACCCACGAAAGCUACAAACUGGGAUUAGAUACCCCACUAUGUGUAGCCGUAAACCUUGAUGGUAACCCUCACCCCCCCCCAUCCGCCUGGGAACUACGAGCACCAGCUUAAAACCCAAAGGACUUGGCGGUGCUUUAGACCCCCCUAGAGGAGCCUGUUCUAGAACUGAUAACCCCCGUUAAACCUCACCAGCCCUUGUUAAUACCGCCUAUAUACCGCCGUCGUCAGCUUACCCUGUGAAGGCAUAAUAGUAAGCAAAGUUAGUAAAACUCAAAACGUCAGGUCGAGGUGUAGCGAAUGAGCUGGGAAGAAAUGGGCUACAUUUUCUCUUGAGAAAAAACGAAUGGUGUGUUGAAACACCCACCUGAAGGAGGAUUUAGCAGUAAGUGGUAAAUAGAGUGUCCCACUGAAA
rnacentral:rRNA from 1 species